ensembl:piRNA 21ur-10205 ncRNA
UUUUGUUCGCAAAUCUGUCCA